rnacentral:rRNA from 1 species
UCGGGAAUCUUGGGCAAUGGGCGAAAGCCUGACCCAGCAACGCCGCGUGAGGGAUGAAGGCCUUCGGGUCGUAAACCUCUGUCGGGAGGGAAGAACGAUCGGAGUUCGAAUAGGGCUCUGGUCUGACGGUACCUCCAAAGGAAGCGCCGGCUAACUCCGUGCCAGCAGCCGCGGUAAUACGGAGGGCGCAAGCGUUGUUCGGAAUCAUUGGGCGUAAAGCGCGUGUAGGCGGCCAGGUAAGUCGGGUGUGAAAGCCCGGGGCCCAACCCCGGAACUGCAUUCGAUACUGCUUGGCUGGAGUCCCGGAGAGGAAGGCGGAAUUCCCGGUGUAGAGGUGAAAUUCGUAGAUAUCGGGAGGAACAUCAGUGGCGCAGGCGGCCUUCUGGACGGUGACUGACGCUGAGGCACGAAAGCGUGGGGAGCAAACAGGAUUAGAUACCCGGGGUAGUCCCUGAGCGGGCUGGCAAGGCGCAU